GGGAAAUAGUUAUGCCCCACAUCAUGUUCUCUCUCUCUUUUUCUUUUCUUUUUCUACAUGUUUUUUUUCUUUACCAUCUUCGUCUUCGUUUUCUUCUGCUUCGUAUUGCUUCUUUCUUCUUCUUUCUUCUUCUUCUUCUCUUUUGAAUUUUCUUGACAUCCUUCAACUCCAACAUCUUCAGUUUCUCAGUUUCCUCUUCCUUCUCCUUGGACACUUUCAAGUGCACGUUUGGUAAAAGAUUAAAAGCCAAAGACUUCAGAUAUAUUGGUCAAGUGAUGUGGUAUUUCUUUUGUUUCCCUUCGGAAGUAAUUGAUAUACUGCCCUGUCAUGAAGAACAUAGAUACUCAGUAGAGCCAAAUAAAAUGGAG